rnacentral:rRNA from 1 species
AUUGAACGCUGGCGGCAUGCUUUACACAUGCAAGUCGAACGGUAGGGUAGCAAUACCUGAGAGUGGCGAACGGGUGAGUAAUGCAUCGGAACAUGCCUAUUAGUGGGGGGAUAGCCCGGCGAAAGCCGGAUUAAUACCGCAUACGAUCUAAGGAUGAAAGCAGGGGACCGCAAGGCCUUGCGCUAAUGGAGUGGCCGAUGUCAGAUUAGCUAGUUGGUGGGGUAAAGGCUCACCAAGGCGUCGAUCUGUAGCUGGUUUGAGAGAACGACCAGCCACACUGGGACUGAGACACGGCCCAGACUCCUACGGGAGGCAGCAGUGGGGAAUUUUGGACAAUGGGCGCAAGCCUGAUCCAGCAAUGCCGCGUGCAGGAUGAAGGCCUUCGGGUUGG